CUGAGAUCAGGAGAAGAGAUCCGGAAAGAGCUAAAGAGACGGGCAUCUGUGGCUUCGGCCAGGGUCUCCCCUUGACACUGAGACUCCCCUGU